AUUGAACGCUGGCGGCAGGCUUAACACAUGCAAGUCGAGCGGGGAAGGGUAGCUUGCUACCUGACCUAGCGGCGGACGGGUGAGUAAUGCUUAGGAAUCUGCCUAUUAGUGGGGGACAACAUUCCGAAAGGAAUGCUAAUACCGCAUACGCCCUACGGGGGAAAGCAGGGGAUCUUCGGACCUUGCGCUAAUAGAUGAGCCUAAGUCAGAUUAGCUAGUUGGUGGGGUAAAGGCCUACCAAGGCGACGAUCUGUAGCGGGUCUGAGAGGAUGAUCCGCCACACUGGGACUGAGACACGGCCCAGACUCCUACGGGAGGCAGCAGUGGGGAAUAUUGGACAAUGGGCGAAAGCCUGAUCCAGCCAUGCCGCGUGUGUGAAGAAGGCCUUUUGGUUGUAAAGCACUUUAAGCGAGGAGGAGGCUGCCGAGAUUAAUACUCUUGGAUAGUGGACGUUACUCGCAGAAUAAGCACCGGCUAACUCUGUGCCAGCAGCCGCGGUAAUACAGAGGGUGCGAGCGUUAAUCGGAUUUACUGGGCGUAAAGCGUGCGUAGGCGGCUUUUUGAGUCGGAUGUGAAAUCCCUGAGCUUAACUUAGGAAUUGCAUUCGAUACUGGGAAGCUAGAG
rnacentral:rRNA from 1 species